rnacentral:rRNA from 1 species
CGGGGGACAACAUUUGGAAACAGAUGCUAAUACCGCAUAACAGCGUUGUUCGCAUGAACAACGCUUACCAGAUGGCUUCUCGCUAUCACUUCUGGAUGGACCUGCGGUGCAUUAGCUUGUUGGUGGGGUAACGGCCUACCAAGGCGAUGAUGCAUAGCCGAGUUGAGAGACUGAUCGGCCACAAUGGGACUGAGACACGGCCCAUACUCCUACGGGAGGCAGCAGUAGGGAAUCUUCCACAAUGGGCGCAAGCCUGAUGGAGCAACACCGCGUGAGUGAAGAAGGGUUUCGGCUCGUAAAACUCUGUUGUUAAAGAAGAGCACGUAUGAGAGUAACUGUUCAUACGUUGACGGUAUUUAACCAGAAAGUCACGGCUAACUACGUGCCAGCAGCCGCGGUAAUACGUAGGUGGCAAGCGUUAUCCGGAUUUAUUGGGCGUAAAGAGAGUGCAGGCGGUUUUCUAAGUCUGAUGUGAAAGCCUUCGGCUUAACCGGAGAAGUGCAUCGGAAACUGGAUAACUUGAGUGCAGAAGAGGGUAGUGGAACUCCAUGUGUAGCGGUGGAAUGCGUAGAUAUAUGGAAGAACACCAGUGGCGAAGGCGGCUACCUGGUCUGCAACUGACGCUGAGACUCGAAAGCAUGGGUAGCGAAC